AAUUAAUUUUUUAAAAAUGAAAGUGCAUAUUAGAAGCAAGAGGGAGAGACCUUACCCUAUCAAUACUCAAAAUUAAAUAACUAGGGUUUUGGGAAGAUGGCGAUGUGUAACUGCGGCAACACUUUGUGCAGCAGUACUAUACAGCUAAGCAUCAACCAAUAAGAUAAAAACACAUCAUUUUAGUUAAAGAGAAAAGAAAAAAGAAAAGCUUAUAAAUCAAAACCACAUAAAACUUAAAAGUAAUAAAAAUUUCGAAUAAUCUAUGUAUAUAUACACACAUACACAUCUCUAUCAACUCAUCUACUGUUACUAUCCAUAUUUUGGAGCUCUCUCUCUCUCUCUCUCUUUCUCUAUAUAUCCAAGAAAGAAAGGAUUUUGCUUUUGCUUCAUUCUUUCUUUUUCUUGCUUUGCUUUUCAUCAAUCAAUUUCUUUCAAGAAACUCAAAGUUCUUAUAUGUUUAAGAUUUUUGUAGUUUGUUUUUGGAUGAUUUAUGUUUUCUUUUUUCCUCUCUGAUGAAUAUUUUUGGCCGGAAUCUGACAUGGGUACUUAUAUAUAUAUAUGUAUUUACUUGUCAGAGUCUAAUCGGAGAAGCCGGACCCAGAUACCAAAAUCUAUGAAAAAUUGAAAAUUCAUUGAUUCUUUUUGAAUCUCAUUUAGUAUAUGCUAUAUCAUAAAAUAAUAAAAAAAAAGAUUUGUACUCUUAUGCUCCAUUGUUUUUUUUUUUUUUCCUAUUAUCUGAAAAUCAGUUUUGUUUUGUCUUUAGUUUCUUUAAAAGAUCGAGUUUAAACUGAACACCAACACAAACACAACACACCAUAGUGGAUUCUUCUUGGGUACCCCCUUCACGUAAUCUAUGUUGAUUUUAACCAGUAGUAUCUGGCCACGUCAGAUACUGCUCGUGACCUUGUUGCUAUAUGGCUCUUUCUUUAAUCUUUAGUCACAAAACACUUUUUCUUUAUUUUUCCACUUGGAUUUGGCCGAAACGUUAUUUGUUUCUCAUCUUUUCCUUUGAAUCUCUAUAUAUGUAUAUAUACAUAUACACAUGUACAUAUAUCUGUAUCUACAUGUUGCUCAUAAUGAAGAAGCAGGUUUUUGUGCAUGGAUAGAUAAAAAUAGAUAGGCAGAUAGAUAGAUUGGCAGUCGUUGUUUGCGGGUGUAGCAUCAUCAAGAUUCACAUGCAAAUGCACGGUUGGUGAUGAUUAUAUGUAUGUGCUAAUGAAUCAAUCUCUUUCUCUUGAUGAUCAUGAGCCAGAGUUUGUUUUUUGAAAGUGAGAAUCUUGAUGAUGCUGCAUCAGCAAUAAACGACUAUAUACUUAAAAAGAGAGACAAUAUUUUGCACUCCAUCAACAACAAAAGGUCAACUUUUAUUCUUUUUCUUUGUUUUUCUGUUGCUAUCAGGUGUUGGGUAUGUACUUAAUAUGAUUUCUGUGUAUUCUUUUUUUUUUUUUCUUUUUAAAUUUUUAAUCUUAUUCCUGUGGAUUCUUUUCUUUUUUAGGCCAUAUUUUAUGUUUCCUUUUGUGGCCUUUUUUGCAGAGGAGUAUUAUAGGAUCUUUUAGGUUAAUUCAAGAAUAGCUUUUUCUGCAGAUCUAUGAUUAUUCCUAUCCUAGGAAAAUCUGCUUUCUGGGAAUCCAAAUGUUAUGUCUUUUAUUAGUAAUUUCUUCUUCCAGAGAUGUGAUAGGACUAAAGUCGAAAACAAUCUGCUGAUGGCGAUGGUGAUGGAGCCUUCACUAUUGUAAUAAAAUGGAAAACAACAAAAGGAGAAAAUUCCAACCAACAAGAACCUCUGGAGAUGGUGAUGAGGUUGAAGAAUAAGAAGAAUUAUUUAAGGAAAUAUGUUUGGGCAGAAGCUAAGAAUAAGGUAAGAAUGAUAACAAGUGGUUAUCUGAUAUUUGUUGCUAGCUAGCUACUUGCUAUACAUGUUGUUUUGAGUUGAUGAUAUCAGCUAAAAUAGCUUACUGAAGUUUGGAUUUAAUUAGGUUCUCCAUAUCAUAUAUCCCUUUCCACAAACAUAUUGUCUUUUGUGAUUCAAAAAUACACUUAAUUAUAUUAUAGACAUUCUUGCAAGUGUUUUUUUUUUUUUUAAUGUCUUUUUCAGAAUUAGUAGAUCAUUGAGAAUUGGAAAAAUAUAUAUGGAGGAAAUAUAUAUUAUAUGCUCUGAAGAAUUAAAAGUUUGACAUCCAAACUCAUAUUCACAUAUAUGGUGGAAACAUUGACACACUGUCACUGCCAUUGUUGUGUUGGCUUUUGCAUUCAAUCAACUAUCAUUCUUGUUUUGGUGGACCAACUGUGAACUAUCUUUGCUUGCAAUUUGGACCUUUUAUCCAUAUAUGUAGUCUCUCUUUCUUUCCAAGCAAACAUUUCAUCUUUGGUCCUCUUCCAAUAACAUUAUUAAUUAUAUAGUACCAUGAGGUGUUCAUUUUUCUUUUUUAUGGCAAAGAAAAUCUUCAUAAUUUUGAUGACAGUGAUGAUUCAGUCAUUUCAAGAUUAUUAUAGAUAUCUGUGUGCCUCUAUCACAGUCCAACAUUAGCUUCUCUUUUAUUGCGUAAUGUACCCAAGAGCCUAUGUACUUCUUUCUUUUAAUUUUAUUCAGUCAUCUCAGUUAGCCCUCCAUCUUUUGUUGUUUCUUAUAUAAAAACAGUCAGCCCACCAAUUCCCAAUUUCUCCAUUGCUGAUAUUCUCUUGUUAAUUUUCUUUGCAUCUCUAAUUAAUUAUAUGCUCUGAUGGAAGUCAAAGAUUUCUCCUACUAUUUCUGUCUUUAAUGAUCUACACUAAUUAAAACUUCUAUAAUUCCUUUUAAGUCUUGGUACAAUGAUCAGUUUCAGUACUCUUAUCUUUUACAAUAAGUUAAACCGAUAGCUUUCAUAGGUUUGUAGUUAACAGUAAAAAGAUUAAAUUUCAUGAAUACCCUGAAAAUUAAGAUAAUGAUUGAAAUAAUCAAUCAAGAAUUUACUAAAUAAUUACAAAAUUGCACUUUCUGUUUCAUGGCCAUGGUGUUUAAGUAGCAGUUUCACUGGAACAAAAUUAAAAUAUAUUGAAUUUUUGGAGGCCUACCCUUUAGUUUUUGCCUUUAUAUGAACCCUCAUACAUUAAUCAUGUAUCCCUUAAGUUAUAGCCCCAAGAAUUAAUGCAUAACAUGAUGAGAACUUAUUUAGCAGGAUAUAGUUAAUUUAUUCUUGGCUCUCGAGGAUUUGACUUUGAAGGCAGGCUCAUAAACAUAACCAACAUCAGAUGUCAAGAUUUUGCUUUCAAAUCACACUGAUUGUGCAUUUUUACCAGAAGGUUAUAAAUUGUUCAUUGCACAUGGGAAAUCUUUUAGUAUCAUUAGUUACACUAGAUAUUAUUUUAGAGUUAAUUGCACUGCUGGUACCACAUUUUCACAUCUUUUUUUCAAAUGGUACCAAAUCUUUAAUUUGUUUCUUUUUGGUACCACUCCUAUUAUUUCUGUAUCUUCCGUCAGUACCAAUGAAGAAUCCGGUACUUAUUUACUGAUGUGGCUGCCGAAUUUAUGAAGGAUAACAUCAUAUCUGUUGCUGACUCCUUCAUUUUAUCCUAGUCAGCAAUUAACUAGAUUUAAAAAAUUAAUUAUUAAAAAGGAGAGUGUUUGGAAUGAAAAUUUCUCAUAAAAUUAAUUUUUUUUUAAUUGCUGAUUAGGAUAAUUUAAAAGAUUAAUUAUUAAAAAAGAGAGUGUUUGAAAUGGAAAUUCCUCAUAAAAUUAAAAGUUUUUAGUUAAUUGCUGACUAGGAUAAAAUGAAGGAGUCAGCAACAGAUGUGGCAAGUGUUGUGUUAUAAUUCAAAAUCUGGCAGCCACAUCAGCAAAUAAGUGUUGGAUUCCUCUUUGGUACUGGUGGAAGAUACUGAAAUAAUAAGAGUUGUACCAAAAAGAAACAAAUUGAAGGUUUGGUACCAUUUGAAAAAAAGUGCGAAAGUUUAGUACCAGCGGUACAAUUAACCCCAUUAUUUUACCUUUGUUUUGUUAGAAAUAUAACUAUUCUUAGAGUGUUGCCAAAUAUCUUGAAUUUAUUCUUUUUGAACAAUAGCUUGGGCUGGUUUCUGUUAUAGUAGCAUAGCUUAUAUGAUAAAAGAAAAUUAAAGAAUUCUAGAGUUUAAUCUUCGGCCACCUCUGUCUUAUCAUCUAAUUUGCCGUAUUUUAGCCCGAUAAUUAAGUACUUUAGCUGCAAAAACCUAAAAGCAUUGAGAAUUGACAGCUAUAUGUUCUUCUCAACGCUCCUAACAUAAGCUUCAAUGUAUCUUGUGACAAUAUAGUGAUUCCAUGAUGAAGGAGAUCCAAAGUCUCUAAAGAUAGAAUUCAAUGCUUGUCUUAUCUUCUAAUUUUUCCUCUAUCUCGAAGCAAAAUUGAGAAGAUACUUUAAUUUUAGUAUUUCAUGUAAAGGAUAUUCAAGUUAUUAUUUAUAUUAUAAACCCUAGCAUUAUAAGUACAUAUCCUUGUUUCCUAGCUCUAAAAUACACCGAAAGCUUGAACUAUCCUAAUGAAACAUAUCCUUUUGGUAUCCAAAUAUGAGCUUUAUUUGUUGACUUGUUUUGAUGAGAUCCAAUAAAAUAUAUAUCCCUUUCGGCAUUUGCUUAUCAACAAUUUAAUUUGCUCCAGAAACAUUUCCUUUAAUGCUCAAGUGAGGAAAUCACUUCUGAUAAAGUAGAAGUUCCACAUUUGUUGAUAGAUAAUUCAUACUUCAACGCUUAAAUCCUUCACUUAGAUGGAAAUGGAGGAAUAUGUUUAUACAAGUUGAUUGCAUAAUCUGAUUGAAACACGGUCUUUUAUGUUCUUGCUAAUUACUGUAUAUCGAUUUCCUCUUAAUGUUUGCUAAAAGGGCUAUGUUUAUUCUUUAUAAUGUUCAGCUUGAAUCAAUAUUCUUCAGCUAAUGCGUGAUUUUUGUUUGCUUCCAAGCCCAUUUAAGAUAUAUCACUGCCAUAGCCAAUCUUUCCAAUUAAAAUAACAGUGCAGAAGCUUUCCUUGAUAAACUUUCAAUCUAUCUUGUCUUCUUAGUGGAUUUUGAGAUGCUGCUCCAUCUAUCUUUUAUAGUGUCUAAUUAUUUUGAGAAGUUCUUUCAUCAAGUAGGCAUGUGAAUCCAAAUUUCCUUUUCUGGUGCAAUCACUUAUUGUACUACUUAGGCUUUUCAAUCGAUGAAUUCGAGAAAAUUAAGGCA